AGAGUUUGAUCCUGGCUCAGAACGAACGCUGGCGGCAGGCUUAACACAUGCAAGUCGAACGCUCGUAGCAAUACGGGAGUGGCAGACGGGUGAGUAACGCGUGGGAACAUACCCUCCGGUUCGGAAUAGCUCAGGGAAACUUGGAUUAAUACCGGAUACGGCUGAGAGGCGAAAGAUUUAUCGCCGGAGGAUUGGCCCGCGUUCGAUUAGCUUGUUGGUGAGGUAACGGCUCACCAAGGCGAUGAUCGAUAGCUGGUCUGAGAGGAUGAUCAGCCACAUUGGGACUGAGACACGGCCCAAACUCCUACGGGAGGCAGCAGUGGGGAAUAUUGGACAAUGGGCGCAAGCCUGAUCCAGCCAUGCCGCGUGAGUGAUGACGGCCUUAGGGUUGUAAAGCUCUUCGCUCGG
rnacentral:rRNA from 1 species